AUUCAUUUGACGAGUCCCGGAUGGGACGAAACGCACGUCUUAGAU
rnacentral:hammerhead_ribozyme from 1 species